GCAAGUCGAACGAUGAUUAUCUAGCUUGCUAGAUAUGAUUAGUGGCGGACGGGUGAGUAACAUUUAGGAAUCUGCCUAGUAGUGGGGGAUAGCUCGGGGAAACUCGAAUUAAUACCGCAUACGACCUACGGGUGAAAGGGGGCGCAAGCUCUUGCUAUUAGAUGAGCCUAAAUCAGAUUAGCUAGUUGGUGGGGUAAAGGCCCACCAAGGCGACGAUCUGUAACUGGUCUGAGAGGAUGAUCAGUCACACCGGAACUGAGACACGGUCCGGACUCCUACGGGAGGCAGCAGUGGGGAAUAUUGGACAAUGGGGGCAACCCUGAUCCAGCCAUGCCGCGUGUGUGAAGAAGGCCUUUUGGUUGUAAAGCACUUUAAGCAGGGAGGAGAGGCUAAUGGUUAAUACCCAUUAGAUUAGACGUUACCUGCAGAAUAAGCACCGGCUAACUCUGUGCCAGCAGCCGCGGUAAUACAGAGGGUGCGAGCGUUAAUCGGAAUUACUGGGCGUAAAGCGAGUGUAGGUGGCUCAUUAAGUCACAUGUGAAAUCCCCGGGCUUAACCUGGGAACUGCAUGUGAUACUGGUGGUGCUAGAAUAUGUGAGAGGGAAGUAGAAUUCCAGGUGUAGCGGUGAAAUGCGUAGAGAUCUGGAGGAAUACCGAUGGCGAAGGCAGCUUCCUGGCAUAAUAUUGACACUGAGAUUCGAAAGCGUGGGUAGCAAACAGGAUUAGAUACCCUGGUAGUCCACGCCGUAAACGAUGUCUACUAGCCGUUGGGGUCCUUGAGACUUUAGUGGCGCAGUUAACGCGAUAAGUAGACCGCCUGGGGAGUACGGCCGCAAGGUUAAAACUCAAAUGAAUUGACGGGGGCCCGCACAAGCGGUGGAGCAUGUGGUUUAAUUCGAUGCAACGCGAAGAACCUUACCUGGUCUUGACAUAGUGAGAAUCCUGCAGAGAUGCGGGAGUGCCUUCGGGAAUUCACAUACAGGUGCUGCAUGGCUGUCGUCAGCUCGUGUCGUGAGAUGUUGGGUUAAGUCCCGCAACGAGCGCAACCCUUUUCCUUAUUUGCCAGCGGGUUAAGCCGGGAACUUUAAGGAUACUGCCAGUGACAAACUGGAGGAAGGCGGGGACGACGUCAAGUCAUCAUGGCCCUUACGACCAGGGCUACACACGUGCUACAAUGGUAGGUACAGAGGGUUGCUACACAGCGAUGUGAUGCUAAUCUCAAAAAGCCUAUCGUAGUCCGGAUUGGAGUCUGCAACUCGACUCCAUGAAGUCGGAAUCGCUAGUAAUCGCAGAUCAGAAUGCUGCGGUGAAUACGUUCCCGGGCCUUGUACACACCGCCCGUCACACCAUGGGAGUCUAUUGCACCA
rnacentral:rRNA from 1 species